UCGCGGCCUAUCAGCUUGUUGGUGGGGUGAUGGCCUACCAAGACGACGACGGGUAGCCGGCCUGAGAGGGCGACCGGCCACACUGGGACUGAGACACGGCCAGACUCCUACGGGAGGCAGCAGUGGGGAAUAUUGCACAAUGGGCGGAAGCCUGAUGCAGCGACGCCGCGUGAGGGAUGACGGCCUUCGGGUUGUAAACCUCUUUCAGCAGGGACGAAGCGUAAGUGACGGUACCUGCAGAAGAAGCGCCGGCCAACUACGUGCCAGCAGCCGCGGUAAGACGUAGGGCGCGAGCGUUGUCCGGAUUUAUUGGGCGUAAAGAGCUCGUAGGCGGCUUGUCGCGUCGACUGUGAAAACCCGCAGCUCAACUGCGGGCCUGCAGUCGAUACGGGCAGGCUAGAGCUCGGUAGGGGAGACUGGAAUUCCUGGUGUAGCGGUGAAAUGCGCAGAUAUCAGGAGGAACACCGGUGGCGAAGGCGGGUCUCUGGGCCGAUACUGACGCUGAGGAGCGAAAGCGUGGGGAGCGAACAGGAUUAGAUACCCUGGUAGUCCACGCCGUAAACGGUGGGCACUAGGUGUGGGCAACAUUCCACGUUGUCCGUGCCGCAGCUAACGCAUUAAGUGCCCCGCCUGGGGAGUACGGAA
rnacentral:rRNA from 1 species